rnacentral:rRNA from 1 species
CCUACGGGUGGCAGCAGUCGAGAAUCUUUCACAAUGGGGGAAACCCUGAUGGAGCGACGCCGCGUGGAGGAUAAGGUCUUCGGAUUGUAAACUCCUGUCAUGCUAGAGUAACGUUUUAAGAGUAACUGCUUAAAAUUUGAUAGUACCGCAAGAGGAAGAGGCGGCUAACUCUGUGCCAGCAGCCGCGGUAAUACAGAGGCCUCAAGCGUUGUUCGGAAUCACUGGGCGUAAAGGGUGCGUAGGUGGCGUGGAAAGUCAGAUGUGAAAUCCGGGAGCUCAACUCCCGAAUUGCAUCCGAUACUCCCAUGCUAGAGAACUGGAGGGGGAUCUGGAAUUCUCGGUGUAGCAGUGAAAUGCGUAGAUAUCGAGAGGAACACUAGUGGCGAAGGCGAGAUCCUGGACAGUUUCUGACACUGAGGCACGAAGGCUAGGGUAGCGAACGGGAUUAGAUACCCCGGUAGUCCUAGCAGUAAACGGUGCACGUUUGGUGUGGGAGGAUUCGACCCCUUCUGCGCCGGAGCUAACGCGUUAAACGUGCCGCCUGGGAAGUACGGUCGCAAGAUUAAAACUCAAAGAAAUUGACGGGGACCCGCACAAGCGGUGGAGUAUGUGGCUUAAUUCGAUGCAACGCGAAGAACCU